rnacentral:rRNA from 1 species
GAUGAACGCUGGCGGCGUGCCUAAUACAUGCAAGUCGAGCGAACAGACGAGGAGCUUGCUCCUCUGACGUUAGCGGCGGACGGGUGAGUAACACGUGGAUAACCUACCUAUAAGACUGGGAUAACUUCGGGACACCGGAGCUAAUACCGGAUAAUAUAUUGAACCGCAUGGUUCAAUAGUGAAAGACGGUUUUGCUGUCAAUUAUAGAUGGAUCCGCGCCGCAUUAGCUAGUUGGUAAGGUAACGGCUUACCAAGGCAACGAUGCGUAGCCAGCCUUAGAGGGUGAUCGGCCACACUGGAACGAAGACACGGUCCAGACUCCUACGGGAGGCAGCAGUAGGGAAUCUUCCGCAGUGGGCGAAAGCCUGACGGAGCAACGCCUCGUGAGUGAUGAAGGUCUUCGGAUCGUAAAACUCUGUUAUUAGGGAAGAACAAUGUGUAAGUAACUAUGCACGUCUUGACGGUACCUAAUCAGAAAGCCACGGCUAACUACGUGCCAGCCGCCGCGGUAA